AGAGUUUGAUCCUGGCUCAGAGCGAACGCUGGCGGCAGGCCUAACACAUGCAAGUCGAACGAACUCUUCGGAGUUAGUGGCGGACGGGUGAGUAACACGUGGGAACGUGCCUUUAGGUUCGGAAUAACUCAGGGAAACUUGUGCUAAUACCGAAUGUGCCCUUCGGGGGAAAGAUUUAUCGCCUUUAGAGCGGCCCGCGUCUGAUUAGCUAGUUGGUGAGGUAAAGGCUCACCAAGGCGACGAUCAGUAGCUGGUCUGAGAGGAUGAUCAGCCACAUUGGGACUGAGACACGGCCCAAACUCCUACGGGAGGGCAGCAGUGGGGAAUCUUGCGCAAUGGGCGAAAGCCUGACGCAGCCAUGCCGCGUGAAUGAUGAAGGUCUUAGGAUUGUAAAAUUCUUUCACCGGGGACGAUAAUGACGGUACCCGGAGAAGAAGCCCCGGCUAACUUCGUGCCAGCAGCCCGCGGUAAUACGAAGGGGGCCUAGCGUUGCUUCGGAAUUACUGGGCGUAAAGGGAGCGUAGGCGGACAUUUUAAGUCAGGGGUGAAAUCCCGGGGCUCAACCUCGGAAUUGCCUUUGAUACUUGGGUGUCUUGAGUAUGAGAGAGGUGUGUGGAACUCCGAGUGUAGAGGUGAAAUUCGUAGAUAUUCGGAAGAACACCAGUGGCGAAGGCGACACACUGGCUCAUUACUGACGCUGAGGCUCGAAAGCGUGGGGAGCAAACAG
rnacentral:rRNA from 1 species